GUCACUUCCUCAGCUGACUAAUAUCAACAUCAAUCACAUGUUGCUUUGUUCUAGCAUUACACUAAUAAUAUACUAACCAUAUUGCAGGAAAUGUUUUUACUCAGGGCUCUACUGUGUAAAUCCAGACACAAAAAUGCAGCGUGAGCACUAGGCUACUCAUAACAAAGCCACAGCAGAGGCAGGGCACAGAGCUACAGACUCCACAAGCUGGGUCUGCUCUCAACAUACACUUAGCUGAGACCACUCUGGACAGUGAUAAGGUACAUACUGUGUUCACCUGUCCUCCCAUGAUACUUCUGCAUUUUAGUGCAGGUGGAGAAAACCCCGCAUGAGAAACAAAGCUAUGAUUUUAUUUUCUCCUGGAAUACAGCAGAGGGCCAAAACAAGGAGCAAAGGAAGAGACUAUGAUUGCCUCACGUGCCUGCCUGAGCUAUGUCCUCGGGUCUUUUAGGAGGCCUGUUUCCUCCUGCAGCUAAGGGAUUGCAACCUCCAGAGCUCCCCUGCAAGCAGGGGUUCACUCUCAAUCUUCUCAAGCAAGAUUUAGCUGCUUAGUAUCACGACUUCCCACUACUUGUGGCCAAAGCGCACAGAGGCCUCAUGCACUGGAGGGGAACACGGGGGAAAAUUUAGAGGUGUUGGAGCUGGGUUCACACUGCGAAGUCCAUCAAAAUCUGAACAUCCAUGUGUGACAUUCUGGGGUUGCUUAUGUCACGCAAGGAGCCCGUGCUCCAAAAACCUGCAAAAGAAACAUUGGUCUUUUUUUUCCAAAUCGCUUGGCCCUAUUUCUGCUUCCUGCAUCAUGAGACAUUACCAUGACACAAAACCAGCAUCCGUCUUCCUUUGAUGCAAUGUGCCUUGGUGCAGAUACCUAGAAUGGCUGAAGAUGGCACAGCAAGUAUCUCCAUGCUUAUGGUGCUCAGUUAAUAAAGCCUAAACUCAUAAAAAUUCAGAAGCUUUUACAGACACAAGCAAAGGGAAUGCAAUCUCUGAAGCAGCAAGACCAUAAAUAAAGGGCAUCCCAAGAAGACAGUACUUUCAAAAUUGUUCUCGCAUUGGACGGAAAUUUCCCCAGCAUAUCAGCAGUUUCUUAGCAGUAAGUUGCAGGCAACAGAUGACAGCACUUCUGGCAGGGUUUCCUCCUCUCCCCCACCAGUUGUGGAGGAUCCUCACCACACCGUAACGAGCCCAAGAUCUUCAGCACAAAAAACUAACAACCUCCAGAGCUACAAAGUGCGAAAGCAUUUUCAGCAUCAACAGUUCUCCAGGUCUCUGUAACAGUCUCAGCUAAGUAUACUCCAGAUGAGUUCUUUCCAAACAUGCCCUUGCCCAUCACUGAACGCUGCAGCUCAGCAGAGCCCCUGAGCUGGCUCCGAUCAAAAUGAGUGCCUCAUGAGGGACAGCACCGGCUGAGACAGGUACCUGUGCAGCUGAGGGCUGGGCAGCACAUCCUGCUGGGAUGGUGGGACACUGGAAAUACUUGGGAGAAGUCUCACCAGACUCGGAGGGUGAGGCUGGGGAGUUUCCUUCUGUUUGGACGUGUGGCUGAGGCUUGGGAAGAGGUGAUGGGGUAACUUGCCACCUGGAGGACAAGUCAAGGCUGGUAUUGGGAAACUGUGUACCAACAUGAGCGGAGGCUGUGGCUCGAGGAAAGCCAAGCACGUAAUCCAUGACUGGACUUGCCUGCACCUCAGGGAAGGGAACAUUAUUUCCUGGCUGCAUGGAUAAAUUGCAUCAAACCACCCAUCUCCUUUGCACCUGUGUCUCAGAGAUGGAGUGUGAGAUGGGGCCAUGCCGUGGUGUUGGAAAAUGAAGCACUUGAAGCAGGUGACAAGGUCCUUUUUGCUAAUGUAUGUGAUUUUCAUGGCUUUAAGCUGCAUUUUGCCAUUUUGUUACAAAUUCUAUUUUUCUUCCCACUUCUUCCACUGCUAAUUUACUCUGUGCUGAAAUGCAGUACAGAAAACAUCUUGAAUACAAUGACAAGGCAGUAUUUCCAAUUUUUUAAUUUCUAAACUGAGCAUAAUUUAAGGCAUUUUCUCAACUGCUAUGACUACUAAGGUACUUAGAGUCUUUAAAAAUUAGUUUAAAUUGCUGUAAAGCCACUGUCUCUGUAUUUGUGGAACUGCAGUGAAAGUACCAUUUAUUAAAUUACCUGUAUCCAACCAAAUC